GUAGUUAGCCGGGGCUUCCUCACAGAUUACCGUCACUUCCUUCGUCAUCUGCGACAGAGGUUUACAACCCGAAAGCCUUCUUCCCUCACGCGGCGUUGCUGGGUCAGGCUUGCGCCCAUUGCCCAAUAUUCCCCACUGCUGCCUCCCGUAGGAGUCUGGACCGUGUCUCAGUUCCAGUGUGGCCGAUCAGCCUCUCAGCUCGGCUACCCAUCGUCGACUUGGUGGGCCGUUACCCCGCCAACUAUCUAAUGGGACGCGAACCCCUCCUAAAGCGGAUUGCUCCUUUGACCUCAUCCUGAUGUCAGGUCGUGGUCUUAUGCGGUAUUAGCACACCUUUCGAUGUGUUAUUCCACUGUCUGGGACAGAUUGUUCACGCGUUACUCACCCGUCGCCGCUCGAACAGAAACCGAAGCCUCUGUCCUCGCUCGACUUGCAUGUGUUAAGCACGCCGCCAGCGUUCGUCCUGAGCCAGAAUCAAACUCUGA
rnacentral:rRNA from 1 species